GGGUUGUGAGGUUAAGCGACUAAGCGUACACGGUGGAUGCCCUGGCAGUCAGAGGCGAUGAAGGGCGUGCUAAUCUGCGAUAAGCGCCGGUAAGGUGAUAUGAACCGUUAUAACCGGCGAUACCCGAAUGGGGAAACCCAGUGUGAUUCGUCACACUAUCAUUAACUGAAUCCAUAGGUUAAUGAGGCGAACCGGGGGAACUGAAACAUCUAAGUACCCCGAGGAAAAGAAAUCAACCGAGAUUCCCCCAGUAGCGGCGAGCGAACGGGGAGGAGCCCAGAGCCUGAAUCAGCAUGUGUGUUAGUGGAAGCGUCUGGAAAGGCGCGCGAUACAGGGUGACAGCCCCGUACACAAAAGCGCAUGUGCUGUGAGCUCGAUGAGUAGGGCGGGACACGUGGUAUCCUGUCUGAAUAUGGGGGGACCAUCCUCCAAGGCUAAAUACUCCUGACUGACCGAUAGUGAACCAGUACCGUGAGGGAAAGGCGAAAAGAACCCCGGCGAGGGGAGUGAAAAAGAACCUGAAACCGUGUACGUACAAGCAGUGGGAGCACAGGUUUACCUGUGUGACUGCGUACCUUUUGUAUAAUGGGUCAGCGACUUAUAUUCUGUAGCAAGGUUAACCGUAUAGGGGAGCCGCAGGGAAACCGAGUCUUAAUUGGGCGUUAAGUUGCAGGGUAUAGACCCGAAACCCGGUGAUCUAGCCAUGGGCAGGUUGAAGGUUGGGUAACACUAACUGGAGGACCGAACCGACUAAUGUUGAAAAAUUAGCGGAUGACCUGUGGCU
rnacentral:rRNA from 1 species